GCAUAACGCGAAGAACCUUACCAGGUCUUGACAUCCCUUUGACCGUCCUAGAGAUAGGGCUUUCCUUCGGGACAGAGGAGACAGGUGGUGCAUGGUUGUCGUCAGCUCGUGUCGUGAGAUGUUGGGUUAAGUCCCGCAACGAGCGCAACCCUUGAACUUAGUUGCCAGCGAGUCAGGUCGGGCACUCUAGGUUGACUGCCGGUGACAAAACCGGAGGAAGGCGGGGGAUGACGUCAAAUCAUCAUGCCCCUUAUGACCUGGGCUACACACGUACUACAAUGGCCGGUACAAAGGGCAGCGAAGCCGCGAGGUGGAGCCAAUCCCAGCAAAGCCGGUCUCAGUUCGGAUUGCAGGCUGCAACUCGCCUGCAUG
rnacentral:rRNA from 1 species